ensembl:snoRNA SNORA70 Small nucleolar RNA SNORA70
CUCUAGCCAAUUAAGCCAGCAGAUUCCCUCCCUCACAGGGGCCUUUGGUGCACAGUGGCUGUAAGCAGCCAUCUUCUUGGUAGUGUCCACAGCCUGUUGCUUGUGAGGGCUGCACUAAGGACCUAGGAGACCAAU